UUAUUGUGCAGUCCUGAAUCCAAAUCCACCGUUGCACACCCAGACCAGUGCCACUCCAACACCACGUACCCUCUGUCUAUCCGAACCCUAGCGCGUCGGCGGCGUCGGCGGCGUCGAUGGCGUCGAUCCCGUCUGAUGAGGUCUCCAAGAACGGUCACGGCAACGGAAACGGCCCAUCGCCGCCGCGCGCGAAGCGCCCUCGCGCAGCGUUCAUCUCGGCCGCCCAGAUCCGCGACGAGUUCGCGCACCACGACCCCGCAGUUGCCCGCGUCAACAACGGCAGCUUCGGCUGCUGCCCGGCCUCCGUGCUCGAAGCGCAGGCCCGCUGGCAGCGCCUCUUCCUCGCUCAGCCCGACGCCUUCUACUUCGACGGCCUUCAGCCGGGGCUCCGCCGUUCCCGCGCAGCCGUCGCGGCCCUUGUCAACGCUGGGGACGUGUCCGAGAUUUCCCUCGUAGACAACGCUACCACCGCUGCUGCAAUCGUGCUGCAGCAUGCCGCCUGGAGCUUUGCCGAGGGGCACUUCGCUCGGGGCGACGCUGUGCUCAUGCUCCAUUACGCCUAUGGAGCAGUCAAGAAAUCUAUCCAGGCCUACGUUGCUCGCGCGGGCGCCACUGUCGUCGAGAUAAUAUAUUCCACUGAAGUUUGAACCAUGGAAUGAUCUACAAUUUUUAGGGUGCAUGUAGUAGCCAAAGACGCACCGUAAAAAUGCAAGAAACUCUGGCUUGAUGACGUUGCAUCCAGCCAGCACUCCAUCCAAAGAUGCUGUAGCCGAUUAAUUAGUUGUGGAUCUGUGCCACCAGCCAGUGCUGCACUGAGAUCUAGUUCUUCGGUAGCCCGCUCCAUGGCAUCGCCAUUUGAUGUAGUGGACUUUCACAUACUGACGAAUGUUGUAUUUGAGCUUGCAAUAAUGUGCACUGGAAUGUAUGUCUUCUCGGUUCACUUGCAUUUUUGAGCUGUAAUGUAAGAAUAAUCAUGUGAAUGCAAGGAGACUUGCAUGCUUUCUAGAUUGAUUACAGAUUAUGCUGA